GUCGUGGCGGGGCCGGGUGGGCCGGGGCCGUGCGGGGCCAUGGGCAGCGUGCGCUGGGCUUUCCCCUGCGGGGCCUGGCGCCCCUGCCGCCGUGAGUGGCUGCUGGCCGCGCAGCUGGUGCAACCCGAGGAGAAGGACCGCAUCGGCCAGUUUGUCUUUGCCCGCGAUGCCAAAGCCGCCUUGGCUGGUCGCCUGCUGAUGCGGAAAUUAAUUGCAGAAAAGAUGUGCAUACCUUGGAAUAAAGUACACUUGCAAAGGACGUCGAAAGGAAAACCUUUCCUGGCCAAUACCGUAAUCAGUAUCAAUUCGAAUUACAAUUUCAAUAUCUCUCAUCAAGGAGAUUAUGCAGUCCUUGCAGCUGAGCCUGAGCUUCAAGUGGGUGUUGAUAUAAUGAAGACUAAUUUACCAGGUAGUAGCUCAGUUCCAAAUUUCUUUCACAUCAUGAAGCGACAGUUUACUGAGACGGAGUGGGAUGUAAUCAAGUCUAUGAGUAAUGAAUGGAUGCAGCUGGAUAUGUUUUAUCGGCACUGGGCCUUAAAGGAAAGCUUCUUAAAGGCUAUUGGAGUUGGAAUUGGCUUUAACUUGCAAAGAAUUGAGUUUAAUGUAUCCCCAUUGCAACUGGAAAUAGGGAAGGUGUAUAAGGAGACAAAAAUGCUUCUGGAUGGAGAAAAAGAAGAGGAGUGGACAUUUGAGGAAACCCGGUUCGAUGACCAUCAUCAUGUUGCAGUGGCACUCGGGAAACAGACGGGAUUUGUGCAAAAGGCUUCUGAUGAGAGGUCUGGGAAGGAGAAAUGCUUUCAGAGGACAGCAACAGAUAAUGUCAGAUCUGGAAUGCAGUGAUCAGUGUGUUCAUUCAAGAGAAGAUUAAGUGAUUUUUGUCACAGCCUGCUAGUACUCAUGUGGGAAAGAUGGUCUUCACAGAGGGAAAUGGAGACAGUGAACCAAUCUGGACUUGCUAAACUUGUAUGACACCUCACCAAGUUGAUUUUAAUGGGGGACUGUCAGUGCAUGUAUCCCGGAGCAGAUCCAUCGCUCAAACACGACUAUGACAAGAUAACCCUUGAGACAAGCAACAACAGCCAAGAGAUGGGAAGAACAGCAGUGUUAGUCUUCAUUCCAUGUGGUGUCUAUUGAGAGAAGGAACAAAGCUACUUAAAAACUUUUCAGGAUUUUCUGUGCAAUUUAACAAAGAUCUCAGUCAUAAAAUAGCAAUAAAAGUCAAAAUUAAGGGAGAAGCAGACUGGCAAGUUGUAGCUGAAAUAGCCAAACAAUCAGAAAAGGAGAGUGUGACAAAUUGCCGGAUUUUUCUGUGGUGUUUUAGUUGCUAACAAGAAAAUGGGUUAGUUGUUUUCUGUUAUUUAGAUACAAAGGUUCUACCAGGAACUAGAAAAAACGUAGUGUAGGAAUGGAUAAAAGCAUAAAAGUGGUAAUGCACACUUAAUAAAGUCUGUCUGUGUUCGUGAAUAACACAAAGAGGCAGACCUUUUAACUAGUAUUGGGUAGGUUAAAAAGAAAAAAGAGAUAUAAACUGCCUUUGGGGUUUUACUGUGUCAAAUCAGUGUACAAAUACUAUUUUAAGAAAAUAUAUUCAAUCUGCUUGACAGGACAUACUUAAGUUCUCUUUGGGAUGGCAUAUCAUUCUUCUGACAGGAAUACUAAUAAAUGCAGUCUGAGGUGAAAAGAAGAUGGCCAUUAUUUAUAAAGACAGCUACCUAAGUAUUCUACAAAAAUCCAGGAAUUUUAAGUGUUGACCUUCACCACCAUCACAUACCUUGAAGUUAUCAUAGGAAGAAUAGUAAUGAUAUCAAGAAUUAUGAUGAAAAAUCUUUGAAUCAAGAGAAGUCUUAAAGGCAUACUUGUCCACUGACUAAAUUUCUGAUGACCUGAGUUUCAGGUCAUCUCAAUUCACGGAAAAAAGGUCGUUUUAAGCAGGACAAGUGAGCAUCCUGUGACUCCCCAGUAUGGAAAUUAAGUGAAAAUUUAUAUACUAUUGCAUUGUGCCUUUUUAGGCCUCCUUCUAACAGGAACAUGGAGGAAAUGAAAAUUACCUUCUCUCUAUGUAACAGAACUGUAAAAAAUGAUUUUGUUUUAAAUGUCUUGCUAGAUGUGUUGAGAGAAAAAGUUGUUCAUCCUUCUUAAAUACGUGCAAUUGUUCCAGGAUGUCAGUGUUUGAGUUUGUUCCCCCUCUGCAAUCACAGGAGUAAUUCAUUAUGUCCUGUUUGCAGAACAUGUACGUUCAACUUUCUUCCUGUACUGAUAGCAAGUACCUACAAUUCACAGGAAAGACCAAUUGUUACAUUAAUGCACUAUAGUGAAAAAUCUCUAGUGUCAAGAAUCUUUACAAAGUGUCUGCUAGUGACUGCUAUAUGCUUUAAGAAACAAUGUGUAUCUGCACUCUUUACUGAGAUCUAGACAGUUAUCUGUGGCAAAUCUCAAUGAAAGAGGGCUGAAUUUAUAAUUCUUUAUAAUUCCUGUGUAGGCUAUAAAAUAUCUUUUUGUCUGUCACUUGCUAAAUUUCACAAGACUUGAGAUGAAUUCAGUCAGAACACACUUGCCCUCAGACAAGCAUGUGCUGAAGUUCAAACUAGAUCUGUUAACAUCUUCUUAGCUCUGAGGCUCUGAGGCUUAGUUCAUGUUUGGUAUGCAUCUCUGAUGUCACUUGCAUGGCUCUAGGCACAGUUCCUGCAGCUUUACCUCAUCUCCAAAAUGUCACAUGAACAGGAAUGUCUCAACACUAUAUCAUUUGUGUAAGGACAUAAAGCGACAGCCAGCUCAACUUCUGGUUUCAGUCUGUAUUGACAACUUAGAGUUUUUCUGUGCUGUUACAGCAAGCAAAACCCAUUUGGUUGUCUCUGCAUUUAUUCCUACCAGUAACUUACUGCUCAGACACUGAAAUGGACAGUAGACUUUUUUGCCCUUUUACCUAUUUACUGACCCACCUUCAUCGAUGUGACAGAAAGAGACAACAAAAUCCUCAAAAUAGGCCUUAGAUAGGAUCAUCUCCAGCAUUGGUACGUGAGCAAGAAAAGGCCUACAAAGUACAAUUAUGAACAAAUUCCCCAACCUUUCUACAGGAACUCAACACGCUGGGGUGCCUUUACAGUGCCUGUACACUAGUCCAAACAGUAUGAGGAAUAAAGUAUCAUCUCUGGAAAGGUGGCAGAGCAGCUAAUUCUGGAAACCAUUUCCAGAUGCAGUAAGGACAAAGAAAUCAUCAGGACUGGUCAGCAUAGCUUCACCAGGAGAAAGUCAUGGUACGUUCCAUGGAGCCUAACCCACCACAGUUUACGUUACUGACUUUUGAAGAUUUAGUUGCAUCUGGUA